ensembl:lncRNA
GCUAGGCAGUUAUGUGACUUCACUUAGGUGUUUUCAAUGGUUGCUAGGGCAUUGCUAAGUGGUUGCUAGGGUGCGUUGGGUGGUGAGCUUUUGUGGGGCCUACUGCAGGCAGUUGUUUAGAUGUUUUCAGUGGUUGCUAGGUAUAAUCACAGAUGGUAUUAGGGAGUUGCUAGGUGUCAGUGUCUGCAAAGCAUCAUAGAUGGUUUCUAGGGCGUUGUUAUGUAGUUACUAUUGUAUCUUUCGUCUCUAUAAUGAUUGCUAGGCUGAACUGGAUGGUUGCUAGGGUGUUGCUAGGCAGUUUCUAGAGUGUUUUCAGUGUCUUUAAGGCAACACAGAUGGUUUCUAAGGCAUUGUGAGGUAGUUGCUAUGGUCUCUAUAUGGUUGCUAGGUUGAACUGGAUAGUUGCUGGGGUGUUUCUAGGCAGUUGCUAUGGUAUCUUUAUGUCUCUGUACGGUUGCUAGGCUGCACUGGAUGGUUGCUAGGGUGGGUGAGCGGUGUGUUUUACCUCAUGAAGCAGCCGCCGCACUCUCCCUGUCUCUCAGCGUAGUUCCACAAGCCGAUGUUGUUCUCGUUGAGCGACGCUUCGCUCAUGCAGCCUCUGAAGUGGGUCACUCUCACCGCUGGGGGUUUCUGGGAAAAACACAAGCGAUGUAAACAGGGCCAAACACAGAGGAACCUUGAGGAACAGCAGCCGGAUCCUCACCUUCACCUGAGUGCCGAGACCCCCGACGAACACCCAGCUGGAUCUGCUGACGUCCAUCACGGUGGAGGAGCCGGACGCUGUGGUCUUCACUGCGGGCAGCGGCUCGGAGUCCGUCUGCUGGACGGUGAGGGUCCCGUGUCUCCCAAACCUGCGGCACAAUCACAGGAGAACCGGACGUCAGAGUCAGUCAUUCAAAGAGAAGAACCCAAACGUCCCAUCAGCGCUGAGAGUCACGAACCGCGUCACGUUGAUCCUGUGCCACCUGUCGUUAUUGAUCUGAACCUCAGGAUACUCCAGUCUGGUGUGUCCAGAGCCAGUGUCCCACAGGAAGGACACCUUCCC